UACGUAGGGUGCGAGCGUUGUCCGGAAUUAUUGGGCGUAAAGAGCUUGUAGGCGGUUUGUCGCGUCUGCUGUGAAAAUCCGGGGCUCAACCCCCGGACUUGCAGUGGGUACGGGCAGACUAGAGUGUGGUAGGGGAGACUGGAAUUCCUGGUGUAGCGGUGAAAUGCGCAGAUAUCAGGAGGAACACCGAUGGCGAAGGCAGGUCUC
rnacentral:rRNA from 1 species